rnacentral:rRNA from 1 species
CGUUGGCGGCGUGCCUAACACAUGCAAGUCGAACGGAAAUAGCAAUAUUUGAGUGGCGCACGGGUGAGUAACACGUAGCUAAUCUACCUCAAAGCGCGGGAUAACGUGUCGAAAGACAGGCUAAUACCGCAUAAGCUCGCGAUCUGUAGAGGGUUGCGAGAAAAGGCUUCGGUCACUUUGAGAUGAGGCUGCGGCCCAUCAGCUAGUUGGUGAGGUAAAAGCUUACCAAGGCGACGACGGGUAGGGGACCUGAGAGGGUGACCCCCCACACUGGGACUGAGACACGGCCCAGACUCCUACGGGAGGCAGCAGUGAGGAAUAUUGCACAAUGGGCGCAAGCCUGAUGCAGCGACGCCGCGUGGGUGAAGAAGGUUUUCGGAUCGUAAAACCCUUUUCUGUGUGACGAGAGAGGACGGUAGCACAGGAAUAAGUCUCGGCUAACUACGUGCCAGCAGCCGCGGUAAAACGUAGGAGACAAACGUUAUCCGGAGUUACUGGGCGUAAAGGGCGUGUAGGUGGUUUUGUAAGUCUGGCGUGAAAUAUCUCGGCUUAACCGAGGCAGGUCGUCGGAUACUGCAAGACUAGAGGACGGUAGAGGCGUGUGGAAUUCCGGGUGUAGUGGUGAAAUGCGUAGAGAUCCGGAGGAACACCAGUGGCGAAGGCGACACGCUGGGCCGUACCUGACACUGAUGCGCGACAGCAUGGGGAGCA